rnacentral:rRNA from 1 species
UACGUAGGUGGCAAGCGUUAUCCGGAAUUAUUGGGCGUAAAGAGCGCGCAGGCGGUCGUUCAAGUCGAGUGUGAAAGCCCCCGGCUCAACUGGGGAGGGUCACUCGAUACUGAUCGACUUGAAGGCGGGAGAGGGAAGCGGAAUUCCCGGUGUAGUGGUGAAAUGCGUAGAUAUCGGGAGGAACACCAGUGGCGAAGGCGGCUUUCUGGCCCGUUCUUGACGCUGAGGCGCGAAAGCUAGGGUAGCAAACGGG